GUGUUGUUUUCUUAUUGGACCUUCCUCCCACGCUCAGCCCAGCUCGCUCUUCUUCUAGAAUCCCACCUCUGUGUCCUGGACGGUCACGUUACCCUCUCCACAUCCUUCGUCGCCGUCCCAAAUCCAAUCGCUAUCUCUUGUGGAGGAGAUAAAGGAGAAGGGGACAGAGGAAAGAAGAGAUGGCACGGCGGGGGGAACCUAGCCUCCUCCAACACGUGCCAGGACACGCCGUCGUCGGUGUCGACAAGCGGCCCCACGCGCUCCACGCCCAGUAGGUCGUCGAAUGCCGUGCAAGGGCUCACGGGACAGGCAGGGGGGAUCACUUUGUACGUGCUCUGGCUGGCGAUCUGGCUUGGAUCUCAACUUCUCUUCCACAUCUUCGUCUUCCGUCCAUGGGCUCCCAUAGAUCUCAGGCCUCCAGUCUUUCUUCUUGAAUUGCAGUAGAGAUUGUGGCGUUCAGACGGGUGCUACUAACAAACUCCAUUAAUCUAGCUCUACUUCGUCGAGCGCCGGCUGUUUUGUGCGAACGUGUCUUGCUUAUUUGCCGGUUCACACGCUUCCAGCAGCAACGUCAUGAGAUUAAUUUGUAAGAUAUAUUCCUUGCUUUUACAGGUUCAUAGGAAAGGUGUUGCACUUGAUAGAUCAGUAGAUUUGUCAAAGUUUAGUGACUAUGAUGCAAACCAAAGCUGAGCUCGACGAGAUGUUUGGAUUUGACAGUAAAUUGAUGUCUUCCAACAAAGAUUGGCAGAUGGUGUAUACAGAUAAUCAGGGUGACCUGAUUCUGGACUUUCAAUUGUAGUUCAGAUUGGCAGAUGGUGUAUACAUUCAAUUGUUCGCCUUGGUGUUUGUGCUCCACUCUUAACUGGAACCGUCUGACCCUGUUUCACUUGAGUGUACAGGCACCAAUAGGUUUGGUCCUGUUUCUUCCUCUGAAGUUGGAUUUGGUGUUGUUUGUGUCCAUUACCAAAUAUAAAGUCUUUGGAGCUUGCUAGGACACACAUUUUGUAUGGAUUGCUGAUUAUAAGAGGUGACGGUGUGGAUUGAGCUUUCAUGUUUCUGGUUGGCCUUGUGCAACUCAAUCCAAAACAAAUGUAAGCCGGUAAUUGUGAAUGUUGUUAGUACUACAUGACGGGUCUUGUGUUGUGCAAUUAAGGUUUUAUACUGGAAAUAAGGAAUAUUGUGUGUUGUUGA